GAUGAAGAACGCAGCGAAACGCGAUAAGUAAUGUGAAUUGCAGAAUCCAGUGAAUCAUCGAAUCUUUGAACGCACAUUGCGCCCGCCAGCAUUCUGGCGGGCAUGCCUGUUCGAGCGUCAUUUCAACCCUCGACCUCCCCUUGGGGAGGUCGGCGUUGGGGACCGGCAGCACACCGCCGGCCCUGAAAUGGAGUGGCGGCCCGUCCGCGGCGACCUCUGCGCAGUAAUACAGCUCGCACCGGGACCCCGACGCGGCCACGCCGUAAAACACCCAACUUCUGAACGUUGACCUCGAAUCAGGUAGGACUACCCGCUGAACUUAAGCAUAUCAAUAACGGAGGA
rnacentral:misc_RNA from 1 species